rnacentral:lncRNA from 1 species
GAGUAUCGAUCAUAGGAUGCAAGGAUUUCAGACAGGUAUCUGGAGCUGCAGGUAAAAGUUAGUUCCUAGUUUUUCUCUCUCUAAUUUUCUCUCUUGAGUCAAAGUCUGCCAUGAAUCAAAACUUAAUGGUGGCUGCCACCAAGUUCUGUUCACUUCUUUUUGACCUAUAUCCAAGAGUUCUUUGCGAAAGCGAGCCUUGAAGAUUGCCGCCUCCAAGUCCCGUUUCGAACUCUUUUAUUGGAGUCUUUAUGAAUCAAGCCUUAAUAGUUUUAGCCACCAAAUCCUGUUCAGACUCAUCCUAAGUAAACAAUAGAUCUUAUAUUGAUUUUUUUAUUAUUAUUAUUAUUUUUUUUUUUUUAAAUAGAACUCACUAACUAUUCUAGGGUCGAAACUUAGAGAGAGAAAAUGUGAUAAAUAAUCUACACAAGGCGUUACCUUCCAGACCUGUCUGAAGAAUUCGAUCCCAUGUAUACCAAACCCCAAGACAAGCGGUUAUGUCAGGUUUAGUAUUGGAAAUCAGCUUUGGUUACUUCAUACGGUCAAGGCAAGUGUGUAGUUGAUAGGUUGAUCUGCUUUAGCAUCUAUAGUGCUAUCUGCAAUCAGUAAAUCUAAAAUGGUGCUGAAGAUUGGUUAGAUAUUCAAGUUUAAAUCAAUAUAAGAUCAUAGUCCCAUUUCCAAUAGCUAAGCAUAAUUUAUUAAAAUUCCUUUUAUAUAAGAAUAAAAUAAAUUAUAUCAGUAAAUCUUCCCCCAGACUUAAAUUACAC